GCCUGGGUGGCUCAGUGGGUUAAGCAUCUGACUUCAGCUCAGGUCAUGAUCUCGCAGUUUGUGAGUUCGAGCCCCGUGUCAGGCU
rnacentral:tRNA from 1 species